rnacentral:lncRNA from 1 species
CUGGUCUCGAACUCCUGACCCCAGACGAUCUGCCUGCCUCAGCCUCCCAAAAUGCUGGGAUUAUAGGUGUGAGCCAUCAUGCCCGGCAGUUAACUUAUUUGAGUCUCAGCUUCUUGGGUCUCAACAGUACAUGGCACUUGUCAUUGUGGGGCUGGUGGUUUAUCCUUCAUCAGAACCUGAGUCUAUCCAGAAAUGAUUGAAAAUUCAAGAUACAGGGGCAAGCAGGUAGGAGGUGAAAAUUCAAGAUACAGGCCAGGCAGUGGCUCACACUUGUAAUCCCAGCAUUUUGCGAGACCAAAGUGGGAGGAGUGGUUGGGGCCAGGAGUUUGACACCAGCCUGGACAACACAGCAAGAUGCUGUCUCUAUAAAAAAUUUAAAAAUUAGCUGGGCAUCAUGGCACAUGCUUGUAAUCCUAGCUACUUGAGAGGCUGAGGCAGAAGGAUCGCUUGAGACCAGGAGUUUGAGGGUGCAGUGAACUAUGAUGGCGCCACCACACUCCAGCCUGGGAGACAGAGUGAGACCCUGUCUCUAAAAGAAAAAAGAAAAUUCAAGAUACAGAGCCAGACAGGAGCCUGGAUGGCCAUCUUUCUUCUGAUAGCAAUAAGCUGGAUGCUGGGAUAGAAGCCUGAUACCUCCUCCAACCCUAGUCCUUGGCCUCUAGUUUACUCGCCUGAGGCAAGGGUAGAGUGGAGGAAGAUUUAGGGAAAGCAAGUAGUCCGUUUUAUUGUUACGGACCAGAGAGGUUGGGGGUGCAGAUGAAACCAACAUCUGGUAAGGAGUGUGGCUGAUCAGCCUUGGGCUCUGCUUCCUCAUCCCACCUUUGCUUCCUAUCUCUGGAACUCUUCUAGGGGGAGAUUGAGUUACUUAGUAUGGUAUGGGGAGGUGCAGAGGGUAUGGCUAAUAAACAGCCGGGAAUUCUACUUUGUCUGACUCCUUUCUGUGUAAUCCAGAUCUUAUAUUGAGGGGGUUGGGGAUGGCAGGGAGAAGUCACUUUAUCCUCUAUCUCUCCAUAUGUAAAAUGAGAGUUUGAACUGAUGAUCUCUGCUUCAACAUGGAGACUCUAUGACUCUCAUUCCAGGGAAAGUUCCUGGGCCUUGGCCAGCUGGCCCUAAGUCUCCUUUCUUUUUUUCUGCAAAAUGGGCACGAACUAUUCAAUUUCAGAAUGAGGAUAAAUGUAUACACACACUAUUAUCCAAGCCUCCUUCUCCUGCCCCUUAAUUAUUUCUGACCUCAUUAGCUCCCCCUUCCUAGUAGAGGGUGGAUAUGGCAGCAGUGUUUGUGUGAAUAUCAUUCCUUUAUUCAAAAACAGGUUGGAAUCUGCUAUGCACUUGUUAACUGUAUUAGGCCUGGGGGAUUCAACAGUACAAAAGACAGAGUCUUUGACCUUACAGAGAAAACAGUUGAGUUUGGGGAGUAGGUAGUGAGGACCAGGAAGCAAGACAGGGUUUAUAAGUUGGCAGAGGUGGGACCUACCCAUAAGGUAGAAUUUCACAAAAACACAGGAAGGCCCUGUGCCUUCUUUUGAUGUUUCAUUUUUGAAAUACAAUUUUUUGUUAAUAUCCAUGAUUAUUUUAGAAAUUAAUUUCCUGGGGGAAAACAUGAGUACAAGCAACACAAUAAAAGUUAAAUUUGGGCUGGGCACAGUGGCUCAUGCCUGUAAUCCCAGUACUUUGGGAGGCCAAGGUGGGUGAAUCACGAGGUCAGGAGUUCAAGACCAGCCUGGCCAGCAUGGUGAAACCCCGUCUCUACUAAAAAUACAAAAAUUAGCCAGCCAGGCAUGGUGGCACGGGCCUGUAAUCCCAGCUACGCGGGAGGCUGAGGCAAGAGGAUUGCUUGAACCGGGAGGCAGAGGUUGCAGUGAGCCGAGAUCAUGCUACUGCACUCCAGCUUGGGUGACAGGGCGAGACUCUGUCUCAAAAAAAAAAAAGUUAAAUUUGGCCAGGCACAGUGGCUCACACCUGUAAUCCCAACACUUUGGGAGGCCAAGGUGUGCCAGAUAGCUUGAGCCCCAGAGUUUGAGAGCAGUCUGGGCAACAUAGUGAGACCUUCUUGAGACCUUCUUCUCUACAAAAAAUUUAAAAAUUAGCCAGGAACCUGUAGUUCCAGCUACUCGGGAGGCUGAGGUGGGAGAAUCACCUGAGCCCAGGAGGUCAAGGCUGCAGUGAGCUGUGUUCCUGCCACUGUACUCCAG